UCCCGUGUGGCUCAGUUGGUAGAGCAUGGUGUUUGCAAUGCCAGGGUUGUGGGUUUGAUUCCCACUGGGGAC
rnacentral:tRNA from 1 species